UUCUGGCUCAGGAUGAACGCUAGCGACAGGCUAACACAUGCAAGUCGAGGGGCAGCACGGGAGUAGCAAUACAACUGGUGGCGACCGGCGCGACGGGUGAGUAACGCGUAUGCAACCUACCUAUCAGAGGGGAAUAACCCGGCGAAAGUCGGACUAAUACCGCAUAAAACAGGGGCACCGCAUGGUGAUAUUUGUUAAAGAAAUUCGCUGAUAGAUGGGCAUGCGUUCCAUUAGGUAGUUGGUGAGGUAACGGCUCACCAAGCCGACGAUGGAUAGGGGAACUGAGAGGUUGGUCCCCCACACUGGUACUGAGACACGGACCAGACUCCUACGGGAGGCAGCAGUGAGGAAUAUUGGUCAAUGGGCGAGAGCCUGAACCAGCCAAGUCGCGUGAAGGAAGAAGGAUCUAUGGUUCGUAAACUUCUUUUGCAGGGGAAUAAAGUGCGGGACGUGUCCUGUUUUGUAUGUACCCUGAGAAUAAGGAUCGGCUAACUCCGUGCCAGCCGCCGC
rnacentral:rRNA from 1 species